rnacentral:tRNA from 1 species
UGGCGGCACAUCAGUUUAAGGCGCGUUGGCAGAGUGGCUAUGCAGCGGAUUGCAAAUCCGUGUACCUCGGUUCG